rnacentral:rRNA from 1 species
ACUGUGUGUUGUUGGGUAGGGGAGCGUUCUGUAAGCCUGUGAAGGUGGCCUGUGAGGGUUGCUGGAGGUAUCAGAAGUGCGAAUGCUGACAUAAGUAACGAUAAAGCGGGUGAAAAGCCCGCUCGCCGGAAGACCAAGGGUUCCUGUCCAACGUUAAUCGGGGCAGGGUGAGUCGACCCCUAAGGCGAGGCCGAAAGGCGUAGUCGAUGGGAAACGGGUUAAUAUUCCCGUACUUGGUGUUACUGCGAAGGGGGGACGGAGAAGGCUAUGUUGGCCGGGCGACGGUUGUCCCGGUUUAAGCGUGUAGGUGUGUGUUCCAGGUAAAUCCGGUUCACUUUAACACUGAGGCGUGACGACGAGGCACUACGGUGCUGAAGCAACAAAUGCCCUGCUUCCAGGAAAAGCCUCUAAGCAUCAGGUAACAUCAAAUCGUACCCCAAACCGACACAGGUGGUCAGGUAGAGAAUACCAAGGCGCUUGAGAGAACUCGGGUGAAGGAACUAGGCAAAAUGGUGCCGUAACUUCGGGAGAAGGCACGCUGACACGUAGGUGAAGUGAUUUACUCAUGGAGCUGAAGUCAGUCGAAGAUACCAGCUGGCUGCAACUGUUUAUUAAAAACACAGCACUGUGCAAACACGAAAGUGGACGUAUACGGUGUGACGCCUGCCCGGUGCCGGAAGGUUAAUUGAUGGGGUCAGCGCAAGCGAAGCUCCUGAUCGAAGCCCCGGUAAACGGCGGCCGUAACUAUAACGGUCCUAAGGUAGCGAAAUUCCUUGUCGGGUAAGUUCCGACCUGCACGAAUGGCGUAAUGAUGGCCAGGCUGUCUCCACCCGAGACUCAGUGAAAUUGAACUCGCUGUGAAGAUGCAGUGUACCCGCGGCAAGACGGAAAGACCCCGUGAACCUUUACUAUAGCUUGACACUGAACAUUGAGCCUUGAUGUGUAGGAUAGGUGGGAGGCUUUGAAGUGUGGACGCCAGUCUGCAUGGAGCCGACCUUGAAAUACCACCCUUUAAUGUUUGAUGUUCUAACGUGGACCCGUAAUCCGGGUUGCGGACAGUGUCUGGUGGGUAGUUUGACUGGGGCGGUCUCCUCCUAAAGAGUAACGGAGGAGCACGAAGGUUGGCUAAUCCUGGUCGGACAUCAGGAGGUUAGUGCAAUGGCAUAAGCCAGCUUGACUGCGAGCGUGACGGCGCGAGCAGGUGCGAAAGCAGGUCAUAGUGAUCCGGUGGUUCUGAAUGGAAGGGCCAUCGCUCAACGGAUAAAAGGUACUCCGGGGAUAACAGGCUGAUACCGCCCAAGAGUUCAUAUCGACGGCGGUGUUUGGCACCUCGAUGUCGGCUCAUCACAUCCUGGGGCUGAAGUAGGUCCCAAGGGUAUGGCUGUUCGCCAUUUAAAGUGGUACGCGAGCUGGGUUUAGAACGUCGUGAGACAGUUCGGUCCCUAUCUGCCGUGGGCGCUGGAGAACUGAGGGGGGCUGCUCCUAGUACGAGAGGACCGGAGUGGACGCAUCACUGGUGUUCGGGUUGUCAUGCCAAUGGCACUGCCCGGUAGCUAAAUGCGGAAGAGAUAAGUGCUGAAAGCAUCUAAGCACGAAACUUGCCCCGAGA